rfam:Physcomitrella patens subsp. patens PHYPAscaffold_324 genomic scaffold, whole genome shotgun sequence.
AAUGGGAAAUGAUGACAAGUAUUCGCCAUUCCCGAAUGUAUCCUCUGUGAUACAUCAUGUGGGUUUGCGAAACAUGAGUUGCACGUCAGUCUGAUCCUUCU